UGGCAAAAGAUGAAAAGGAAAAAGAAAAAAGAAGCAAGGGUAGCACUAGCAGCAGCAACAGCCACUACAACAGAAUUAGGUUAUAGGGACACAUGUUUGGGACACUUUUGAGUAAGUGUCUCAUUUAUGCUAAAAUUUAAAAACACAUCUACUAAUGCCUAAAUAUAAAGCCUAAUCCAAUUAAAAAUAAAAGAUUACUCUACUCAACCCACCACACCGAGUCCAUUUGGCCCGAUUACAAACAGAAAAGAAAAAAAAAGAAAAAUCAAUUACCAUCUUUUAUUCUCUCUUUACUCAAUCCACUGAAAUUCUAGACGAAGAACCUUUACUGUCGUCUUCCUCUGCCACCGCAGCCAACGAGAUAGAGUUUCGGCGGUUGCUAAAUGCUUAAAUAAGUGUUGGUAAAUUAGCAGCACUCUUUUAGGUUAUAGUGACACUAACUGUCACUAUAUACCUAGCGACCCCACAUAUAGCAACAUUUUUUAAAAGUGUUGGUAAUUUUAGCUAGCAGCACUUUUUUGACAUGUACCUACAUUUAAAAGUGUCGCUAUAGACCGUUUUUGUUGUAGUGAGCAGCAAUAACAGUAGUAGUAGGCCAAUCAAUGGCAUCAGAAGAAGACGACGAAAUAGA
rnacentral:lncRNA from 1 species